AUUGAACGCUGGCGGAAUGCUUUACACAUGCAAGUCGAGCGGCAGCGCGGGGCAACCUGGCGGCGAGCGGCGAACGGGUGAGUAAUGCAUCGGAACAUGUCCAUGUCGUGGGGAUAGCCGGCGAAAGCCGGAUUAAUACCGCAUAUGCCCGAGAGGGGAAAGCCGGGACCGCAAGGCCUGGCGCGAUUGGGUUGGCCGAUGUCCGAUUAGCUAGUUGGCGGGGAAGAGCCCACCAAGGCGAUGAUCGGUAGCUGGUCUGAGAGGAUGAUCAGCCACACUGGGACUGAGACACGGCCCAGACUCCUACGGGAGGCAGCAGUGGGAAUUUUGGACAAUGGGGAAACCUGAUCCAGCCAUUCCGCGUGAGUGAAGAAGGCCU
rnacentral:rRNA from 1 species